ACCUAUGUGGUCUAAUUUGGCAUGACACCGGAGUCUGGUUCCGGUAAUUGAGGUUCGAAUCCUUGCGUAGGUGC
rnacentral:tRNA from 3 species